CCGGGGGUAUAUAUUACCCAAAAUCUAGUUGUUUACCUAGUUACAAUAGCUAUAGAAUAGUCCUAGUGAGUGUCAAGAAUAGUAUACUAAGUCAGGUAACAAAACUCAGUAAACUCAGUCCAGUACAGUCAGUCAACAUGAUCAGUGUCAGUUCAGUCAACCCUAUUACAGUCUAGUGAUUAGUUCUGUGUCCAUUCAUAUGGGAGUAGGAUUCAGCACCGAGCGAGCCCAGGG
rnacentral:lncRNA from 1 species